rnacentral:rRNA from 1 species
AGUGAACGCUGGCGGUAGGCCUAACACAUGCAAGUCGAACGGCAGCACAGUAAGAGCUUGCUCUUACGGGUGGCGAGUGGCGGACGGGUGAGGAAUACAUCGGAAUCUACUUUUUCGUGGGGGAUAACGUAGGGAAACUUACGCUAAUACCGCAUACGACCUACGGGUGAAAGCAGGGGAUCUUCGGACCUUGCGCGAUUGAAUGAGCCGAUGUCGGAUUAGCUAGUUGGCGGGGUAAAGGCCCACCAAGGCGACGAUCCGUAGCUGGUCUGAGAGGAUGAUCAGCCACACUGGAAAUGAGACACGGUCCAGAAUCCUACGGGAGGCAGCAGUGGGGAAUAUUGGACAAUGGGCGCAAGACUGAUCCAGACAUACCGCGUGGGUGAAGAAGGCCUUCGGGUUGUAAAGCCCUUUUGUUGGGAAAGAAAAGCAGCAGGUUAAUACCCCGCUGUUCUGACGGUACCAAAAGAAUAAGCACCGGCUAACUUCGUG